CGCCUUGCCAGCCCGCUCAGAACUUAAAGGAAGUUGACGGGGCCCGCACAAGCGGUGGAGGUAUGUGGUUUAAUUCGAUGCAACGCGAAGAACCUUACCUGGUCUUGACAUCCCGGAGACCCUUAGGAAACUAGGGGGUGCUUCCAUCUGGAAGAAUCUGGAGACAGGUGCUGCAUGGCUGUCGUCAGCUCGUGUCGUGAGAUGUUGGGUUAAGUCCCGCAACGAGCGCAACCCUUGCCUUUAGUUGCCAGCAGUUCGGCUGGGCACUCUAAAGGGACUGCCGGUGUUAAACCGGAGGAAGGUGGGGAUGACGUCAAGUCCUCAUGGCCUUUAUGACCAGGGCUACACACGUACUACAAUGGCCGAUACAAAGGGCAGCGACACUGCGAGGUGAAGCCAAUCCCGUAAAAUCGGUCUCAGUCCGGAUUGGAGUCUGCAACUCGACUCCAUGAAGUUGGAAUCGCUAGUAAUCGUGGAUCAGCAUGCCACGGUGAAUACGUUCCCGGGCCUU
rnacentral:rRNA from 1 species